AGAGUAGAAAACUAGAUGUGUAAUAACAGCUAGGUUUAUAAAAUCUCACUUAUGUGCUGCAAAUAAAUGUGUAAUGACUGGAUGUGUAAUUAUAAUGUUACAUUGAUUAAUUUUGUAAUAAAAUCUGUAUAGGCUUAAUGCUGACAGGGCAACAUAAAAUAUAUACUUACAAAGACAAAACAGGUGCUACUCUAGUUUAAAGUGGAAAAUAGGACCAAUGUCAAAGUGGAAACCAA